AGUGAACGCUGGCGGUAGGCCUAACACAUGCAAGUCGAACGGCAGCACAGUAAGAGCUUGCUCUUACGGGUGGCGAGUGGCGGACGGGUGAGGAAUACAUCGGAAUCUACUUUUUCGUGGGGGAUAACGUAGGGAAACUUACGCUAAUACCGCAUACGACCUACGGUUGAAAGCAGGGGAUCUUCGGACCUUGCGCGAUUGAAUGAGCCGAUGUCGGAUUAGCUAGUUGGCGGGGUAAAGGCCCACCAAGGCGACGAUCCGUAGCUGGUCUGAGAGGAUGAUCAGCAACACUGGAACAGAGACACGGACCAGAAUCCUACGGGAGGCAGCAGUGGGGAAUAUUGGACAAUGGGAGAAAGCAUGAUCCAGCAAUACCGCGUGGGUGAAGAAGGCAUUCGGGUUGUAAAGCCCUUUUGUUGGGAAAGAAAAGCAGCAGGUUAAUACCCCGCUGUUCUGACGGUACCCAAAGAAUAAGCACCGGCUAACUUCGUG
rnacentral:rRNA from 1 species